rnacentral:rRNA from 1 species
UGGGGAAUUUUGGACAAUGGGCGAAAGCCUGAUCCAGCAAUGCCGCGUGUGUGAAGAAGGCCUUCGGGUUGUAAAGCACUUUUGUCCGGAAAGAAAUCCUUGGCUCUAAUACAGUCGGGGGAUGACGGUACCGGAAGAAUAAGCACCGGCUAACUACGUGCCAGCAGCCGCGGUAAUACGUAGGGUGCAAGCGUUAAUCGGAAUUACUGGGCGUAAAGCGUGCGCAGGCGGUUUGCUAAGACCGAUGUGAAAUCCCCGGGCUCAACCUGGGAACUGCAUUGGUGACUGGCAGGCUAGAGUAUGGCAGAGGGGGGUAGAAUUCCACGUGUAGCAGUGAAAUGCGUAGAGAUGUGGAGGAAUACCGAUGGCGAAGGCAGCCCCCUGGGCCAAAUACUGACGCUCAUGCACGAAAGCGUGGGGGAGCAAACAGGAUUAGAUACCCUGGUAGUCCACGCCCUAAACGAUGUCAACUAGUUGUUGGGGAUUCAUUUCCUUAGUAACGUAGCUAACGCGUGAAGUUGACCGCCUGGGGGAGUACGGUCGC